rnacentral:rRNA from 1 species
GAUGAACGCUAGCUACAGGCUUAACACAUGCAAGUCGAGGGGCAGCGGGAUUGAAGCUUGCUUCAAUUGCCGGCGACCGGCGCACGGGUGAGUAACGCGUAUCCAACCUUCCGUACACUCAGGGAUAGCCUUUCGAAAGAAAGAUUAAUACCUGAUGGUAUGAUGAGAUUGCAUGAUAGCAUCAUUAAAGAUUUAUCGGUGUACGAUGGGGAUGCGUUCCAUUAGGUAGUAGGCGGGGUAACGGCCCACCUAGCCAACGAUGGAUAGGGGUUCUGAGAGGAAGGUCCCCCACAUUGGAACUGAGACACGGUCCAAACUCCUACGGGAGGCAGCAGUGAGGAAUAUUGGUCAAUGGACGAGAGUCUGAACCAGCCAAGUAGCGUGAAGGAUGAAGGUCCUACGGAUUGAAACUUCUUUAUAAGGGAUAAACCCUCCACGUGUGGGAGCUUGUAUGUACCUUAUGAAUAAGCAUCGGCUAACUCCGUGCCAGCAGCC